rnacentral:rRNA from 1 species
UUAAGUGACUAAGCGUACACGGUGGAUGCCUGGGCAGUCAGAGGCGAUGAAGGACGUACUAACUUGCGAUAAGCGCAGAUAAGGCAGUAAGAGCCGUUUGAGUCUGCGAUUUCCGAAUGGGGAAACCUAACUGCAUAAGCAGUUACUGUUAACUGAAUACAUAGGUUAACAGAGCAAACCGGGGGAACUGAAACAUCUAAGUACCCCGAGGAGAAGAAAUCAACCGAGAUUCCGGUAGUAGCGGCGAGCGAACCUGGAUUAGCCCUUAAGCACUCGGUGAAGUAGGUGAACAAGCUGGAAAGCUUGGCGAUACAGGGUGAUAGCCCCGUAACCGACGCUUCAUCGAGCGUGAAAUCGAGUAGGGCGGGACACGUGAUAUCCUGUCUGAAUAUGGGGGGACCAUCCUCCAAGGCUAAAUACUCCUGACUGACCGAUAGUGAACCAGUACCGUGAGGGAAAGGCGAAAAGAACCCCUGUGAGGGGAGUGAAAUAGAACCUGAAACCGUGUACGUACAAGCAGUAGGAGCACCUUCGUGGUGUGACUGCGUACCUUUUGUAUAAUGGGUCAGCGACUUAUAUUCAGUGGCAAGGUUAACCGUAUAGGGGAGCCGUAGCGAAAGCGAGUCUUAACUGGGCGCUCAGUCUCUGGAUAUAGACCCGAAACCGGGUGAUCUAGCCAUGGGCAGGUUGAAGGUUGAGUAACAUCAACUGGAGGACCGAACCGACUAAUGUUGAAAAAUUAGCGGAUGACUUGUGGCUAGGGGUGAAAGGCCAAUCAAACUCGGAGAUAGCUGGUUCUCCCCGAAAGCUAUUUAGGUAGCGCCUCGGACGAAUACUACUGGGGGUAGAGCACUGUUAAGGCUAGGGGGUCAUCCCGACUUACCAACCCUUUGCAAACUCCGAAUACCAGUAAGUACUAUCCGGGAGACACACGGCGGGUGCUAACGUCCGUCGUGGAGAGGGAAACAACCCAGACCGCCAGCUAAGGUCCCAAAGUAUUGCUAAGUGGGAAACGAUGUGGGAAGGCUCAGACAGCUAGGAUGUUGGCUUAGAAGCAGCCAUCAUUUAAAGAAAGCGUAAUAGCUCACUAGUCGAGUCGGCCUGCGCGGAAGAUGUAACGGGGCUAAGCAAUACACCGAAGCUGCGGCAAUGUCUUUUAGAUAUUGGGUAGGGGAGCGUUCUGUAAGCCGUUGAAGGUGAAUCGUAAGGUUUGCUGGAGGUAUCAGAAGUGCGAAUGCUGACAUGAGUAACGACAAAGGGGGUGAAAAACCUCCUCGCCGGAAGACCAAGGGUUCCUGUCCAACGUUAAUCGGGGCAGGGUGAGUCGACCCCUAAGGUGAGGCCGAAAGGCGUAAUCGAUGGGAAACGGGUUAAUAUUCCCGUACUUCUGACUAUUGCGAUGGGGGGACGGAGAAGGCUAGGUGGGCCAGGCGACGGUUGUCCUGGUUCAAGUGCGUAGGCUUGAGAGUUAGGUAAAUCCGGCUCUCUCUAAGGCUGAGACACGACGUCGAGCUGCUACGGCAGUGAAGUCAUUGAUGCCAUGCUUCCAGGAAAAGCCUCUAAGCUUCAGAUAGUCAGGAAUCGUACCCCAAACCGACACAGGUGUCGGGUAGAGAAUACCAAGGCGCUUGAGAGAACUCGGGUGAAGGAACUAGGCAAAAUGGUACCGUAACUUCGGGAGAAGGUACGCUCUUGAUGGUGAAGUCCCUCGCGGAUGGAGCUGACGAGAGUCGCAGAUACCAGGUGGCUGCAACUGUUUAUUAAAAACACAGCACUGUGCAAAAUCGCAAGAUGACGUAUACGGUGUGACGCCUGCCCGGUGCCGGAAGGUUAAUUGAUGGGGUUAGCGUAAGCGAAGCUCUUGAUCGAAGCCCCGGUAAACGGCGGCCGUAACUAUAACGGUCCUAAGGUAGCGAAAUUCCUUGUCGGGUAAGUUCCGACCUGCACGAAUGGCGUAAUGAUGGCCACGCUGUCUCCACCCGAGACUCAGUGAAAUUGAAAUCGCUGUGAAGAUGCAGUGUACCCGCGGCUAGACGGAAAGACCCCGUGAACCUUUACUACAGCUUGGCACUGAACAUUGAACCUACAUGUGUAGGAUAGGUGGGAGGCUUUGAAGACGUGACGCCAGUUGCGUUGGAGCCGUCCUUGAAAUACCACCCUUGUAUGUUUGAUGUUCUAACUUAGACCCGUUAUCCGGGUUGAGGACAGUGCCUGGUGGGUAGUUUGACUGGGGCGGUCUCCUCCCAAAGAGUAACGGAGGAGCACGAAGGUGGGCUAAUCACGGUUGGACAUCGUGAGGUUAGUGCAAUGGCAUAAGCCCGCUUAACUGCGAGAAUGACGGUUCGAGCAGGUGCGAAAGCAGGUCAUAGUGAUCCGGUGGCUCUGUAUGGAAGGGCCAUCGCUCAACGGAUAAAAGGUACUCCGGGGAUAACAGGCUGAUACCGCCCAAGAGUUCAUAUCGACGGCGGUGUUUGGCACCUCGAUGUCGGCUCAUCACAUCCUGGGGCUGAAGUCGGUCCCAAGGGUAUGGCUGUUCGCCAUUUAAAGUGGUACGCGAGCUGGGUUUAGAACGUCGUGAGACAGUUCGGUCCCUAUCUGCCGUGGGCGUUGGAAGAUUGAAGGGGGCUGCUCCUAGUACGAGAGGACCGGAGUGGACGAACCUCUGGUGUUCGGGUUGUGUCGCCAGACGCAUUGCCCGGUAGCUAAGUUCGGAAUUGAUAAGCGCUGAAAGCAUCUAAGCGCGAAGCGAGCCCUGAGAUGAGUCUUCCCUGACAGUUUAACUGUCCUAAAGGGUUGUUCGAGACUAGAACGUUGAUAGGCAGGGUGUGUAAGCGUUGUGAGGCGUUGAGCUAACCUGUACUAAUUGCCCGUGAGGCUUAACCAU